GAAAGGAAACCUAUUUCUCAUGAAAAACCAAAGUUGCAUCCAAAAUUUUUCUAUACAUUCAACUUAAUAAAGAUCAAAUCUUUAUCUAGAUCAUAGCAGAAUAGAGAUCAAAUCUCCAAAAUCUAGAUUCAACAUUCACGUAGGCUUGGAACUACAGGCCUCUACUUCGCACGGACGUCAGGCAACGCAGGAAAGUAGGAUAAAUCUCAGAAUUGAUGCAUUUUCGUAAGGCCACCAAGGGAGG
rnacentral:lncRNA from 1 species